rnacentral:tRNA from 1 species
AGAAGGGUAGUCCAGUGGUUAUGGCACUAGUCUGGGACUUGAAGAUCUGAGUUCAAUUCUCUGCUCUCUUC